GGGGAAUCUUGCCCAAUGGGCGAAAGCCAGAGGCAGCGACGCCGCGUGCGGGAAGAAGGCCUUCGGGUUGUAAACCGCUUUCAGGAGGGACGAAGCCACUCGGGUUAAUAGCCCAGAGGGUGACGGUACCUCCCGAAGAAGCCCCGGCUAACUACGUGCCAGCAGCCGCGGUAAUACGUAGGGUGCAAGCGUUGCCCGGAUUUAUUGGGCGUAAAGGGCGCGCAGGUGGCUCGACACGUCCGUUGUGAAAUCGCCUGGCUCAACUGGGCGGGGUCAGCGGAUACGGUCGGGCUUGAGCAAGCUAGGGGGCAAUGGAAUUCCCGGUGUAGUGGUGGAAUGCGUAGAUAUCGGGAGGAACACCAGUGGCGAAGGCGGUUGCCUGGAGCUUUGCUGACGCUGAGGCGCGAAAGCGUGGGGAGCGAUC
rnacentral:rRNA from 1 species